AGUGAACGCUGGCGGUAGGCCUAACACAUGCAAGUCGAACGGCAGCACAGUAAGAGCUUGCUCUUACGGGUGGCGAGUGGCGGACGGGUGAGGAAUACAUCGGAAUCUACUUUUUCGUGGGGGAUAACGUAAGGAAACUUACGCUAAUACCGCAUACGACCUACGGGUGAAAGCAGGGGAUCUUCGGACCUUGCGCGAUUGAAUGAGCCGAUGUCGGAUUAGCUAGUUGGCGGGGUAAAGGCCCACCAAGGCGACGAUCCGUAGCUGGUCUGAGAGGAUGAUCAGCCACACUGGAACUGAGACACGGUCCAGACUACUACGAGAGGCAGCAGUGGGGAAUAUUGGACAAUGGGCGCAAGCCUGAUCCAGCCAUACCGCGUGGGUGAAGAAGGCCUUCGGGUUGUAAAGCCCUUUUGUUGGGAAAGAAAAGCAGCAGGUUAAUACCCCGCUGUUCUGACGGUACCCAAAGAAUAAGCACCGGCUAACUUCGUG
rnacentral:rRNA from 1 species